UACGUAGGGUGCGAGCGUUGUCCGGAAUUAUUGGGCGUAAAGGGCUCGUAGGCGGUUUGUCACGUCAGGAGUGAAAACUCGGGGCUCAACCCCGAGCCUGCUUCUGAUACGGGCAGACUGGAGGUAUGCAGGGGAGAACGGAAUUCCUGGUGUAGCGGUGAAAUGCGCAGAUAUCAGGAGGAACACCGGUGGCGAAGGCGGUUCUCUGGGCCGAUACUGACGCUGAGGAGCGAAAGCGUGGGGAGCAAACAGG
rnacentral:rRNA from 1 species